AUGAUGACCCUUUCCUCCCCACUUGUUGACCACAAGCCAUCAAUAAAAUUGAGCAGCCCAGACAACGUGACCUGUGUGUGCAGGCAGCCACAAAAUUGUCAUCAGCAUAGAAUUGGACUUGGCAUGCUCCUUGUCAUCUUCCUCGCGCUGCUUCAGUUCGAUAGUGCAGUCGAUGUCCUCCACCACGAGAAUGGACCGGUUGGUCAUCCCGACGAGAAGCCUCCUGAGGUCGGAGUUGGAGUUGACCCCGGUGAGCUCGAGGUCGUAAAUGUUGAACCUGAGGUGGUUGGCGAUGGCAGCGAUGAGGCUGGACUUGCCGGUGCCCGGCGGGCCGUACAGCAGGUACCCGCGCUUCCACGCCUUGCCGAUCCUCCUGUAGUAGUCCUUCCUCUUGAUGAACUGGUCGAGGUCAUCCACAAUUGA
rnacentral:rRNA from 1 species